GUGCCGCCGGUCCGCCCGCGCCGGGCCGAGCGAGCCGGCACAGCCCCCGCCCCGCUGGUCGGCGGCUCCCCGGGCCCGGCGGCGGCGCGGGGUGUCCCGGCUGGGCUCCGCCGCCAAGUGCGGCCUAAGCAGGUCGGCGGGGACCUGGCUGCGGCCAUCCCCGGGCGGGGCGGGGAAACAAGGGCCGGAGGGCGGCCUUGCCUCCCCAUCCAUCCGUCCGUCCAUCCCUUCCUGCAACCAUCCAUCCGUCUGUCCGUCCAUCCCUCCCUCGCUCCAUCCAUCCGCGGUGCCGUCGGUGAAUGCAGCGAUUCGGUCCCCGUCCCCCCUGACAGCCCGCACCGUUGUGCCCACCGAGUGACCCGGCCCCCGGGCGGGGGGCGCGCACAGGGCCGGGGCUGGGUACAGCGGUGGUUUCCCCCCCGCCGCGUUCCCACUGGUCUCAAAAAGAAGGAAGUGCGUUUUUCCACAGGUUUCUGAGCCAACGGACCCGUGAUCUGCACAGCGGCCCUCGCUCAGGCAUAGCACUCCAGCAUUGAGUGUCCUGUGAGUGUCGCAACUAUCUGAGGUCACGGAGGCAUCAAGAAGCUUUCCUAUCAGCUAAUAAAGCCACACGAUGAUACCUUUGAAUCAAGAUAGUUCGCCGGCUUUAGGGAACACCGUUCUUUAUUGGGUUUUUGUAGGGUUACAGGCGAGUUUCCCCGCAGCCUGCGAGCUCCCUGCCGCCGCAGCCGGACUGGCUCCGGGCAGAGCUGCGGGGGGAGCCCGGCGCGACCGCCCACGGGGCUCGUCGGGGGGAGCGACCGCGGACGCACGCUUGAGCGCGGACAGGGCGGGAUGAAAAGUUAAUCUGUACCUUCAGGAGAGUCCGUGUUGCCAAGGGAAAACCCUGGGAAUCGCUCAGAGCCUGCCUGCGGGCGCUGCUGGGGAGCGCGGGCUCCAGGGCUGCGCGUCUGGCGGCGGCGUUGCGGGUCCCCGGGCGGGCGGGCGGACGCCACACUGAAAACGCCACUUGCGAUGCAAAGCCACGGUGUCAGAGGAGCUGGGGUCUUUAUUUUAUCGUGUUGCUGGUCUAGUUUAUGUUGGCAGGGCUUGCCAAGAGGGUUUUAUUGCCCGCUGACGUUAGCUUUACAAUUCGAGCUCCCCACAGCCGACCGGAGGGAUGAUAAAUUAAUUUGCCCUCACACCUGCACUUUUUUUUUUUCCCCCAGUUCGAUGUUACAGACAGUUCUGUAAUAAGUACAGGGUAUGGUGCAAUGCCAGAGAAGCCUAUGCUAAACUACAAACAAAUCCACCCACACAUUACUAGAGAGUAACUACAAUAAAGGCUGAAAAGCGAGUUUUAGCAA